rnacentral:lncRNA from 1 species
GGUGAUUUUUCAAAUUUCAUGUCCCUUGAUUAAAGUAGAGGUCCAGUGCUUCUUUACUUCAAUUUUUUUCUUGUCCUCAUCGUGAAUUUCUUUUCUUUUCUUUUUUCUUUUUUGGUACCGGGGAUCGAACUCGAGUCCUUGCGCUUGCACAACAGGCGGCGAAACCACUGAGCUAAAUCCCCGGCCGAUCGUGAAUUUCUUACAGGUCUGGAGAUGGCCAUGUUGAUGUUCCCAUCUCCCAUCACAAUGCAAUUUGAGCAGGGGGCGCUUCUGACACACUCCACGGCUCUGGCUUUCUUAAACUUCUAACAGUGGAGGACAGGAUGUGUGCGAUUGUGUACUGAGGACAGCAGCCAACCUCACACCAGCAGUUUUCCAUCUUCGAAAGAUUCAAAGGCAGGUGGCCUGAAAAAUUGGCUCCACAGAGAGUAGAGAAACACGAAAGAAGGAGCUGCAAUACCAGAAGUACACACAUGGAGACAAGAUGAUUCUGUCUCCAAAUACAGUCACAGCCCAAAGGACCGGAAGUUGGCUUUCAACACAUGCACUCUGAGGGACACAGUACAGCCCUCAGGGCUGUGAUCUGUAAUCGUCCUCCGCAUCCUCACCAACAGAAGCCACUAAGCUCGCGGUCGAGCAGCGGGGAAGGAGCGGGUAGACCAGCAGGCUCCCUUGCCCAACUCUCCCUGAUGAUGCACAGCUUGUUUCUCUGGGGUGUACCCCUGUUUACUCAUGUACCCCACAUAUUUCCAAAGGA